rnacentral:lncRNA from 1 species
GCGUGAGCUUGUUGGGCCGCAAUCUGGGCCGCCAAGGCAGAAAGGUGAGGGGGAAGGAAGGGAAAAGAGCUGGGCUCAGCCUGCUGCGCUGGGCCGAAGGGGGAAAAAGGGGAGGGGAAAGAGUACUGGGCCUCAGGCCAGAAUAGAGAGAGAGAGGGAGAGGUUUUGUUUGUUUGUUUUCUUUUCCUUUCUUUUAUUCCAAAGCUAAUUUCAAAUCAUUUUUCACCUAUUUCAAAACGAGCACAAAAAUACAAAAUUAAAUCAUUUUGGGUGUUGC